UAGGAUUCCCUUAGUAGCUGCGAGCGAACAGGGAUCAGCCCAGCACUGAAUCCCGCGGCCAAUUUUGGACGCCGGGAAAUGUAGUGUUAGGGAGGAUUCAAUUAUCUCAAAAUUGCGUAUUGCGUCCAAGUCCUUCUUGAACGGGGCCAUAACCCAUAGAGGGUGCCAGGCCCGUAGUGACCAUUACCAGUUUUGAGAGAAUCUCUCCUUAGAGUCGGAUUGCUUGAGAGUGCAGUCCUAAGUGGGUGGUAAACUCCAUCUAAGGCUAAAUAUAACCACGAGACCGAUAGCGAACAAGUACCGUGAGGGAAAGUUGAAAAGCACUUUGAAGAGAGAGUUCAAUAGUACGUGAAACCGUUUAGGGGUAAACCUGAGAAACCCGAAAGAUCGAAUGAGAAAAUUCAUUCGUGUUUCAAUGCAGGCAUUGUAUAUUUGUAUGACAUUUGCUGUGGCAUGCAUUCGUGUGUGUUUAUGGUUUAUGCAUCAAAUUGUAUAAUGAACUUGUAUUGAACACGUGCACUUUUUCUCUAGUAGAACGUCGCAAUCCGUUGGGCGUUGGUCUACGGCUCAUGGUGGAGCCCAUUUUUUGAAUUUUUAAUUCAUUUAAAUGGACCCAUGAUGUUUCCCGACCAACUUGCUCGACGGUAUCAAUAAAAGCGUAGAGUCGCAUUUAUUGCGUUCGGCCUAUGGCAAGUACGUUUGAUGAUAAGUUGAUGUAACGAACUUAACGUCGUUCUCAACCACAAAUUACUGUUAGCACAUAGUGUUCUCGAACUGACUCAAUAAUCGCUAAUUGGCGGCGCUAUAGCUUUGGGUACUUUCAGGACCCGUCUUGAAACACGGACCAAGGAGUCUAGCAUGUGCGCAAGUCAUUGGGAUAUAAUUAAACCUAAAGGCGUAAUGAAAGUAAAAGUUUGUCUUGCACAAGCUAAGGGAAGAUGGGUAGUUUGCCCUUAAAGUGGCUACUCCGCACUCCCAGGGCGUUUCAUUCUUUCAUAUUGCUUGCAGUAUGAGAAGAGGCGCACCAAGAGCGUACACGCUGGGACCCGAAAGAUGGUGAACUAUGCCUGGUCAGGACGAAGUCAGGGGAAACCCUGAUGGAGGUCCGUAGCGAUUCUGACGUGCAAAUCGAUCGUCGGAACUGGGUAUAGGGGCGAAAGACUAAUCGAACCAUCUAGUAGCUGGUUCCCUCCGAAGUUUCCCUCAGGAUAGCUGGCGCUCAUUGCGUACAAGUUUCAUCCGGUAAAGCGAAUGAUUAGAGGCAUUGGGGUCGAAACGACCUCAACCUAUUCUCAAACUUUAAAUGGGUGAGAUCUUCGGCUUGCUUAAAUUUAUUUAUGAAGCCGUUAGUAUUGAAUUAGAGUGCCAAGUGGGCCAUUUUUG
rnacentral:rRNA from 1 species